AUUGAACGCUGGCGGAAUGCUUUACGCAUGCAAGUCGAACGGCAGCACGGACUUCGGUCUGGUGGCGAGUGGCGAACGGGUGAGUAAUGUAUCGGAACGUGCCCAGUGGUGGGGGAUAACGUAGUGAAAAUUACGCUAAUACCGCAUACGAUCUAUGGAUGAAAGCGGGGGAUCGCAAGACCUCGCGCGAUUGGAGCGGCCGAUAUCAGAUUAGGUAGUUGGUGGGGUAAAAGCCCACCAAGACAACGAUCUGUAGCUGGUCUGAGAGGACGACCAGCCACACUGGAACUGAGACACGGUCCAGACUCCUACGGGAGGCAGCAGUGGGGAAUUUUGGACAAUGGGCGAAAGCCUGAUCCAGCCAUUCCGCGUGCAGGAUGAAGCCCCUCGGGUUGUAAACUGCUUUUGUACAGAACGAAAAGGUUUCUACUAAUACUAGGAGCUCAUGACGGUACUGUAAGAAUAAGCACCGGCUAACUACGUGCCAGCCGCCGCCGUAA
rnacentral:rRNA from 1 species